GCAGUGCCACGGCCGCUUAAGCUAACCGGUUGUUAACCGACAUAAAAGGCGCAGAUAUCUGCGCCUUUUUU
rnacentral:ncRNA from 21 species